UACGUAGGGGGCAAGCGUUGUCCGGAGUUACUGGGCGUAAAGGGUGCGUAGGCGGCUUUUUAAGUUUGGUGUGAAAUCUCCCGGCUCAACUGGGAGGGUGCGCCGAAUACUGAGAGGCUAGAGUGUGGGAGAGGAAAGUGGAAUUCCUGGUGUAGCGGUGAAAUGCGUAGAUAUCAGGAGGAACACCGGUGGUGUAAACGGCUUUCUGGACCAUAACUGACGCUGAGGCACGAAAGCGUGGGUAGCAAACAGG
rnacentral:rRNA from 1 species